AUGUGUCUUGGCUAAUGUGUCUCGGCUAAUGUGUCUCGGCUAAUGUGUCUUGGCUAAGGUGUCUUGGCUAAGGUGUCUUGGCUAAUGUGUCUCGGCUUAUGUGUUUCGGCUAAUGUGUCUUGGCUAAUGGGUCUUGGCUAAUGUGUCUUGGCUAAUGUGUCUCGGCUAAUGUGUCUCGGCUAAUGUGUCUUGGCUAAGGUGUCUCGGCUAAUGUGUCUUGGCUAAUGUGUCUUGGCUAAUGUGUCUUGGCUAAGGUGUCUUGGCUAAUGUAUCUUGGCUAAUGUGUCUUGGCUAAUGUGUCUUGGCUAAUGUGUCUUGGCUAAUGUGUCUCGGCUAAUGUGUCUUGGCUAAUGUGUCUUGGCUAAUGUGUCUUGGCUAAGGUGUCUUGGCUAAUGUGUCUCGGCUAAUGUGUCUCGGCUAAUGUGUCUUGGCUAAGGUGUCUUGGCUAAUGUGUCUUGGCUAAUGUGUCUUGGCUAAUGUGUCUUGGCUAAGGUGUCUUGGCAAAUGUGUCUUGGCUAAUGUGUCUUGGCUAAUGUGUCUUGGCUAAUGUGUCAUGGCUAAGGUGUCUUAACUAAUGUGUCUCGGCUAAUGUGUCUUGGCUAGUGUGUCUUGGCUAAUGUGUCUUGGCUAAGGUGUCUUGGCUAAUGUGUCUUGGCUAAUGUGUCUUGGCUAAUGUGUCUUGGCUAAGGUGUCUUAACUAAUGUGUCUCGGCUAAUGUGUCUUGGCUAGUGUGUCUUGGCUAAUGUGUCUUGGCUAAGGUGUCUUGGCUAAUGUGUCUUGGCUAAUGUGUCUUGGCUAAUGUGUCUUGGCUAAGGUGUCUUAACUAAUGUGUCUCGGCUAAUGUGUCUUGGCUAGUGUGUCUUGGCUAAUGUGUCUUGGCUAAGGUGUCUUGGCUAAUGUGUCUUGGCUAAUGUGUCUUGGCUAAGGUGUCUUGGCUAAUGUGUCUUGGCUAAUGUGUCUCGGCUAAUGUGUCUCGGCUAAUGUGUC